AGCAUCCUUAAAGGCAGCUUGUCAGUGUCCUGAGAAGCACAGUCUAGUCUAGCUCUCAGAGAUGAAGACAGCUGCUCUCCUCUUCUGUGUUCUGCUCUUCUGGGUCCCUGGUUCCACCGGGGAAAUUGUAUUGACCCAGUCUCCUGAUAUCUUGGCUGUGUCCUUGGGACAAAGUGUUACUAUCUCUUGCAAGUCCAGCAAGAGUGUCAAUAAAUUUGGUAUAAAUCUAAUACACUGGUAUCAAAAGAAACCAGGGGAGCCCCUCAAACUCUUGAUCUAUAAUGAUGGAAUACGACCAUCAGGAAUUCCUGCCAGGUUCAGUGGUUAUGAGGCUUCAUUAGACUUCACCCUCACCAUCAAUACUGUAGAAGCUGAUGAUGCUGCAACCUAUUACUGUCAGCAAGGAAUAAACCUUCCUCCCACAGUCCCCUAGGUCUAAGCAAAAACCUUCUGGGUUGCUGCUCCCUGAGGCUCAUCAUAUCAGAUGUCUUUCCCCCUGAGACAUCUCAACUAGUGGUCUAUAAAAGGCUUGUUUGAGAAAGAAGGAAAAAUGCAAAAUAAAAAAAUUCUUAUGCUCA